GAUGAACGCUGGCGGCGUGCCUAAUACAUGCAAGUCGAGCGAACAGACGAGGAGCUUGCUUCUCUGACGUUAGCGGCGGACGGGUGAGUAACACGUGGAUAACCUACCUAUAAGACUGGGAUAACUUCGGGAAACCGGAGCUAAUACCGGAUAAUAUAUUGAACCGCAUGGUUCAAUAGUGAAAGACGGUUUUGCUGUCACUUAUAGAUGGAUCCGCGCCGCAUUAGCUAGUUGGUAAGGUAACGGCUUACCAAGGCAACGAUGCGUAGCCGACCUGAGAGGGUGAUCGGCCACACUGGAACUGAGACACGGUCCAGACUCCUACGGGAGGCAGCAGUAGGGAAUCUUCCGCAAUGGGCGAAAGCCUGACGGAGCAACGCCGCGUGAGUGAUGAAGGUCUUCGGAUCGUAAAACUCUGUCAUUAGGGAAGAACAAAUGUGUAAGUAACUAUGCACGUCUUGACGGUACCUAAUCAGAAAGCCACGGCUAACUACGUG
rnacentral:rRNA from 1 species